rnacentral:rRNA from 1 species
GGGAAUGUACCUAAUGGUUCGGAACAACGCUUGGAAACGAGUGCUAAUACCGGAUGAGCCCGCAAGGGGAAAGAUUUAUCGCCAUUAGAUCAGCCCGCGUAGGAUUAGCUAGUUGGUGAGGUAAUGGCUCACCAAGGCGACGAUCCUUAGCUGUUCUGAGAGGAAGAUCAGCCACACUGGGACUGAGACACGGCCCAGACUCCUACGGGAGGCAGCAGUUGGGAAUCUUGGACAAUGGGGGAAACCCUGAUCCAGCCAUGCCGCGUGAGUGAUGAAGGCCUUAGGGUUGUAAAGCUCUUUUGCCCGGGAAGAUAAUGACUGUACCGGGAGAAUAAGCUCCGGCUAACUUCGUGCCAGCAGCCGCGGUAAUACGAAGGGGGCUAGCGUUGUUCGGAAUUACUGGGCGUAAAGCGUGCGCAGGCGGCUUUUCAAGUCAGGGGUGAAAGCCCAGAGCUCAACUCUGGAACUGCCUUUGAAACUGUUAAGCUUGAGUGCGGGAGAGGUGAGUGGAAUUCCCAGUGUAGAGGUGAAAUUCGUAGAUAUUGGGAAGAACACCGGUGGCGAAGGCGGCUCACUGGCCCGUUUCUGACGCUCAUGCACGAUAGCGUGGGGAUCAAACAGGAUUAGAUACCCUGGUAGUCCACGCCGUAAACUAUGGACGCUAGCCGUUGGGUAGCUUGCUAUUCAGUGGCGCAGCUAACGCCUUAAGCGUCCCGCC